GCCAGGCAUGGUGGUGUGUUCCUGUAAUCCCACUUACUCGGGAGGCUGAGGCAGGAGGAUCGCUUGAGCCUGGGAGUUGGAGGCUGCAGUGAGCUAUGAUUGCACCACUGCACUCCAGCCUGGGUUACAGAGCAAGACCCCGCCUCUU
ensembl:misc_RNA Metazoa_SRP Metazoan signal recognition particle RNA